GCCGGACAGUAAACAUAAUAUUUCAGACUUUGUGCACAAAAAUGGAGUUGUUCUUUACCUAGAAGAGAAAAGCCGUGGGAAGAAUGAGUUUUCAGGGGAUCAUGAAGAAUUCAAUGUUAGACAGUAGGAUCUGCAAGCCUCAUUCAGAGGAGAGCUCAUUGAAAGUUAAGGAGAUGAGAAAGAACCAACAAAGAUAAUGGAAAUGAGGCAGACAGCGAGGUAGGCAGAAAACCAGAAGGACGUGGCAUCUUGGAGUUCAAGGGAGGAAGGCACUGGAAGGAGGGAGGUGUGCAUCAAAUUUUGAUAGGUCAGGUAAGCUGAGGAUAAGAAUCACUGGGUUUAGCAAUGUAGAAGACUGGAGCAGUUUUGGUGGAGUGGUGGGUGUGCAAGCCUGAGGGAGCAGGUUUAACAGAGAAUGGAAACUGAGUGUUUGCAGACAGCAAGUAGAAACAGCUGUUGAGGAAAAUUGGCUGAAAGGGUAAGAUGGGGGAAGAUGGGAUGAGACGAGUCCAAAGGCAUUUCUGAUGAAGAGGACCUGGAGACUGUCGAGGUGUGUGGAGUGAGGGAGAAGUCUAGGCUGGCUCCCGGGUUCCUGGCGUGCAUAACUGAGGGGGUUGUUGGGAGCAGCAUUCCUUCUCUGUGCUUUGGUAGCAUCUUGGGCAUGCUGCUAUUGCUGCAUACAUUGCACUGUCAUAUAAUUGUUUAUGAGUCUGCCUGCUAUUUGAAGACUGUGCCAUGUUCCAUAUUUAUCUCUGUGCAACUGGUGUAGAGUGAGUGCUUGGAAGCGAAGCAGCAGCUCCGGGAAGGCCGCAGUUUCAGUGGUCUGGUCUUGACAAGACAGCGAUUUAUUUCUUCCAUGCCCCAUGAUACAGCAUAUUUCUCCUGUUCUGUCUACAUCUCUGUAGGGUCCAGCCCUACAUGGCCUGUGGGUUUUUCUCUUCGUGUGCGGAGAUGAGAGAUCGUAGAAAUAAAGACACAAGGCAGAGAUAGAAGAAAAGACAGCUGGGCCCAGGGGACCACAACCACCAAGGCGUGGAGAUCGGUAGUGGCCCCUAAUGCCUGGCUGUGCUGUUAUUUAUUGUAUACAAGGCAAGAGGGCAGGGUAAGGACUGUGAGUCGUCUCCAAUGAUAGGUAAGGUCGCGCGAGUCACGUGGCCACAGGACAGGGAGCCUUUCCCUAUUUGGUAGUCGAGGAAGAGAGAGAUAGGACAGCUUACAUCAUUAUUUCUUCUAUGUAUUUCUUGGAGAGAUCGAAGACUUUAAUACUUUCACUAUUUCUGUUACUGCU
rnacentral:lncRNA from 1 species